rnacentral:misc_RNA from 1 species
GAUGAAGAACGCAGCGAAAUGCGAUAAGUAAUGUGAAUUGCAGAAUUCAGUGAAUCAUCGAAUCUUUGAACGCACAUUGCGCCCGCCAGAAUUCUGGCGGGCAUGCCUGUUCGAGCGUCAUUACAACCCUCAGGCCCCCGGGCCUGGCGUUGGGGAUCGGCGGAAGCCCCCUGCGGGCACAACGCCGUCCCCCAAAUACAGUGGCGGUCCCGCCGCAGCUUCCAUUGCGUAGUAGCUAACACCUCGCAACUGGAGAGCGGCGCGGCCACGCCGUAAAACACCCAACUUCUGAAUGUUGACCUCGAAUCAGGUAGGAAUACCCGCUGAACUUAAGCAUAUCAAUAAGCGGAGGA